GCUUGGCGUACCUGUCAGGUCGUCAGGCAAAACUCGCGCAGGAUUAGGCCGUUGGGUGGGAGACGCAAAAAGGCUGCCCAAACCUUAUCCUUAGCCUAACUAAGCGGUGUCAGGCCACGGUGGCACUGAAAAAGGGGCCACGGUUCUCCGAAUCCAGCAGUUGUGAAUUUUGGUCAAUCGCUUGAGAGGCGGAACGAGAUGCCGCGUAC
rnacentral:rRNA from 1 species